AAAUUUAAAAAUUUCCGCAAGCA
rnacentral:tRNA from 3 species